UAACACUCCAGCUCUCAUCUUGUUUCGAGUUCAUCCCGUGUCCCACAAACAGAACCAAGUCAAUCAACAACUCAUUCUCUCCCAGCCGUUCGACCCACCUCCCAGAUUUUCCUAGCAAAUCCGUGCAUCUCAGCUCUCCUCUAUCUCGUCCCAAGCUCAUCCCCUGCUCACGGAUCCAUCCAGCUUCUUGCGCAUCCCGUCCAAUGCAUCCGUGCCAUUCUCUUCUUCCGUUUGCUCCCAGCAAAUCUUCACACCUCAACCUCAUAAUCAGUCCGAAUUGGCUUUGUUCCUCCUAGAUUCUGAAAUCACCUCCCACAAUUCUCUACUCCGGAUUAACUCCAUCAUCCACGGGCAGAACAGAGUUAUCCUCUCAAAACAGCAUCUCAUCUCCUCCGAUUCAUCUCUAGCGUCUCCUCCCUCCACGGAUCGUUACCUCCUUCCAUAUCUUCCACGCGUCCGGCUCAGCUCUCUCCCAUCCUUAUCCAAACGACUUCCCCUGCUUCAGCAAUAGAGGAACAGAAAUCCCAACGUCCGGAUCAGAGCCUUCUCCACGUCCGCAGCCUCCCUCCCAUUCGCGAUCAGCAUCUCAACCUUCUUCCGGAUAAGUUCCAGCUCCUCCCAGCCUCCAAGCAGCCGCAAGCCAUUUCGCGUUUCAGCAUCAUCCGAACCUGCAGCUGAGAUUUGCAAACGUCCGAGCUUCACGGAUCGUAGCCCAGCGAAUCCCUGCAUUCAGCCAACGGCAAUGGUCUAUCCUUAUCCAUGAUUCAAAAUAGGGGAGGAGAGAGGGAGUGGGGCAGCUUAUAAAAAGGGGGAGUCGACGUGAACAAGGGGCAGCUCUUUUCUGAUCCGAAGAAGUCUGUGGCUUGUUCAUCAGGGAGUUCCAACAUAAGGGAGGAAAGAAUCAGGAAAGGAAG
rnacentral:lncRNA from 1 species